AUGGGUCGUACCAAUGUCAAUCCUAUUUGGGGUAAGAUUUGGAAAUUAUCGUGUCCGGCAAAGGUAAAAAUAUUUAUCUGGCGAACGUUGCAUGGAACUCCACUGUGUCGUGUUACACUUGCCAAUAGACAUAUGAAAGUUUCGCCCCUUUGUCCAUCAUGCUCGAAUGGGCAAGAAGAUACAAAACACAUCUUGUUUCUGUGUGAGAAGGCAAAAGAGGUUUGGGGUAAGCUGGGGAUGUACGAGGUAAUUAACCAAGCUUGUGUUAUUGAUCGUGCGGGUGAGGUGGUUCUUGAAUUCGUACUUCUUAUGAUGCACCAAGAAUUAUCUAUAUUAGGUUGCCAAAAUGCAAGUGAAUUAAUCGCGAUAACCGCUUGGUAUUUAUGGUGGGAGAGACGCACGUUGGUUCAUGAAGGGAAGUCUCAAGAUGUGAACCAAAUUUCGAUGGGGGUUCGUGCUAUAACGGCAAACUAUGUGAAUGCCCACUCCCCUAGUGCGACUAGUAGAAAAGAAGGAUGCUUCUUUUGA
rnacentral:rRNA from 1 species